ACAGAUUGGGGGGGUUAUUAAUUUAGAUUUUUAUUAGUCGAUGGACUGACAAGAAAAUCCAUUACGUCUUUAUCAGCCGUCGUUCACUGGUCACGAACUGUUGGAUCGUCAUAUUGAACAGCCACAGUUCUCAGGUCUGUUUUUAUUAUCUCAGCAUCAUCCCAGAGGAUCAACAUCAAGUCCAGGUUAUAAGGCUACAUGUCUUCUUCUUAUUCGACCAAAAUGAUGAACAGAUCAGUGGAAACGUGAACAUCAAUAACAGAGCAAGGGCUGAUGUCAGUGAAGGCAUCAUCAUUAGGUGUAACUGAGCCUCCUGUUGUUGUUGUUGUCAGCGUGCCAGCAGCUUCAGUCUGCCCUUCAAUUUAACCAGCAGCUCAUUCACAGUCCACAUUCCUGUUCUGCCCCUCCACCACCACCACCUCCACCCCCGGCACGACACCACAUCCCAUCAUUUCCUGGGGCAGUCCUCAGGUCUAACUGAUCUCUGCAGUGUUACAGGAUGUUUUCUUCAUCUUGUAUGUGGUCAGUUCUGACUGAAGCUAUCUGAUGUAAAUAAAGAUUUCUGAUGGAUUAUAUUUGUGAUUAAACUCAGCAGGAUGUCAAAGACUUUAUCAACCA